AAGUUUAAAUAUAUGUGAGGGUCUACUUGAUCGUUACGACAUCGGCGGUCUCACAUAAUUUAUGCAACAUAAUCUUGAUUGAUUGCACGAAUUUGUCGCCUUCUUCUGCUGCCCGUCGUCCGAUUCUUCAAGCCCUCUCUUCACUCCAGUUCUUGAUGCCCUCCUUAUUUAAUCUUUCGACCCGACAUAGUUUUCCCUUUCCAUCGCUCGCGUUCAUCCCCACCAUUGUUUCCCCUCUUUCUUGCUCGAGUAACCUUCUUCCCCGAAUUCUAUCGCAUGUAAUUUUCUCUAUUGGCUAGUUUACUCUACUCCACCUAACCAUGUCACUUCUCGCCCGCGGUUUUGCUCUGGGCAGGCAUCCGAGCUGCCGCGAUCAAAUCCUUCCUCGGCAGAAGAAGGGCGGUCUCGAUCACCUGAGUGAGUCUUCGCUCCUUUGCCCUGUCGGUAGAGCCAGGAGGAACGGCUGGGCUGCCUUUGCGAUGGAAGGAUCGGUUGGGCCUCGAGUUUACAGCUGCAGCAAUUGUGGCAACCAUGUCUGCCUUCACGAUGAUAUCAUAUCAAAAGCAUUUCAUGUAAAUCCUGGGAGACAUGGUCGUGCCUUUCUGUUUUCUCAUGGGAGGAACAUAGUCAUGGGGCCGAAGCAAGAUCGGCUGCUCAUGACAGGAAUCCACACGGUUGCUGAUGUAUAUUGCCACGACUGCGGGGAGGUCUUGGGCUGGAAGUAUGAAAGAGCUUACGAGGAGAUACAAAGGUACAAGGAAGGGAAAUUUGUCUUUGAGAAAAUAAAGAUCGUCAAGGAGAAUUGGUAGCUACAUCGGGUGUUGGAGACACUUGACAUAUUUGUUGGAAGACGAGCAACUCGGAGGAGAAAGGAGAAGAUUCGAGAUGGGUGCUACCCAUGGUCAUGGAAGCCUGCAGACUUUGACCACCAUCCUCUUCCCUUGCAAUGGGCGUUAAGGAUCGAGUCAAGGUCUGCUUCCGAGUUGUAACUCAUUCAGCAAGCCGGAGAAGACUUUUCCGACGAGCGGACCGUUGACUAGAGCCACAAUCCAUGCCUGUCUUACAAGAUUAUUUCGUCAACUGCAGCUUGGUUGACUUCCCGGAAAGAGUCGACGCAGCGUUGCGCACUUGGCACGGCCACAAGGCGUCACUCACCCGGUUCCAGAUGUGUUCUUUUCUGGACGCCGACGGAGAAGAACGAAAUCAACCGACCCAAAAGUCCAAUUACAACGCCUUGACCAAAAGCCAUUCUCCUAUUGAUCUAUAUUAAUCGUAACUCGACUUCGCUUCCCCGUCGCUCGCGC